rnacentral:lncRNA from 1 species
UUGCGUCUUCAUCUUUCCUUUCAUUAUUCUGCUCACAAACAUUGGAUGCUUCUAUGUGAUGACUCUUCCUCUUGCCUCUCCUCUCAUAUACUAAAUAUUAAAAACUACCAGUGCAUCACGUAACAUCCUAGACAAUGGAUCUUUAGGAAGGGAGACAUUUUUCUCUAAACGAACUUCUUUACAUGCUGGUGGUUUCGUAAUAUUUUGUUCUUUCAACUUAGAAGG